AGAGUUUGAUCCUGGCUCAGGAUGAACGCUAGCGACAGGCUUAACACAUGCAAGUCGAGGGGCAGCGGGGAAGAGGGCUUUCUUUCGUCCGCCAGCGACCCGCGGGCGAGUGACUAAUAUGAAUGCUGCCCGCCCCGUGCGGAUAAAUAAAAGAAAUUACCUCUAAUACCUACCAACUGCCGACCGGAGGGUGCCUGCUGGUGCGUACGAACGAUACAUCUGGUGAUGGUUGUGCAUGCCAUUAAUUAGUUGGCUGGGCGACCGCCCGCCCACGCAAGCAUACAUACGGGUGGUUACAGAAAGGACCGCCCCCCUGGCAGUGACAGACAGACCAUACUCAUACCGAAGGGAGGCAUGAGGAAUAUUGGUUGAUGGACGAGAGGAUGAAUCAGCCAAGUCACGUGAGGGAUGAAGGACCUACCGGUUGUAUACCUCUUUUGUCGGGGAGCAAACAACGGGACGCAUGCCUCAUGGAGAGUACCCGGAGAAAAAGCAUCGGCUAACUCCGUGCCAGCAGCCGCGGUAAUACGGAGGAUGCGAGCGUUAUCCGGAUUUAUUGGGUUUAAAGGGUGCGCAGGCGGAAGAGCAAGUCAGCGGUAAAAAUUGAGAGGCUCAACCUGUUCCAGCCGUUGAAACUGGUUUUCUAGAGUGGGCGAGAAGUACGCGGAAUGCGUGGUGUAGCGGUGAAAUGCAUAGAUAUCACGCAGAACUCCGAUUGCGAAGGCAGCGUACCGGCGCCCAACUGACGCUCAGGCACGAAAGCGUGGGUAUCGAACAGGAUUAGAUACCCUGGUAGUCCACGCAGUAAACGAUGAAUACUAGCUGUCCGGGGAGAAUGAUGUCUGGGCGGCCCAGCGAAAGCGUUAAGUAUUCCACCUGGGGAGUACGCCGGCAACGGUGAAACUCAAAGGAAUUGACGGGGGCCCGCACAAGCGGAGGAACAUGUGGUUUAAUUCGAUGAUACGCGAGGAACCUUACCCGGGCUCAAACGCAGGAUGCAUGUCUUUGAAAGGAGGCAGUUCCUUGGAACAUCCUGCGAGGUGCUGCAUGGUUGUCGUCAGCUCGUGCCGUGAGGUGUCGGCUUAAGUGCCAUAACGAGCGCAACCCCCAUCGCCAGUUGCUGACAGGUAAUGCUGAGGACUCUGGCGAGACUGCCGGCGCAAGCUGCGAGGAAGGCGGGGAUGACGUCAAAUCAGCACGGCCCUUACGUCCGGGGCGACACACGUGUUACAAUGGCAGGUACAGAGAGAAGCCAUCCCGCGAGGGAGAGCGGAACUUCAAAGCCUGUCUCAGUUCGGAUUGGAGUCUGCAACCCGACUCCAUGAAGCUGGAUUCGCUAGUAAUCGCGCAUCAGCCACGGCGCGGUGAAUACGUUCCCGGGCCUUGCACUCACCGCCCGUCA
rnacentral:rRNA from 1 species